rnacentral:rRNA from 1 species
AUACGUAGGUGACAAGCGUUAUCCGGAUUUACUGGGCGUAAAGGGCGUGUAGGCGGUCUUGCAAGUCAGAAGUGAAAUUCCUGAGCUCAACUCGGGCGCUGCUUCUGAAACUGCAGGACUUGAGUGCUGGAGGGGAUAGCGGAAUUCCUAGUGGAGCGGUAAAAUGCGCAGAUAUUAGGAAGAACACCGGUGGCGAAGGCGGCUAUCUGGACAGUAACGGACGCUGAGGCGCGAAAGCGUGGGGAGCAAACAGGAUUAGUUACCCGGGUAGUCCACGCCGUAAACGAUGAAUACUAGGUGUAGGGGGUAUCGACUCCCUCUGUGCCGCAGUUAACACAAUAAGUAUUCCGCCUGGGGAGUACGGCCGCAAGGUUGAAACUCAAAUGAAUUGACGGGG